rnacentral:lncRNA from 1 species
UUGUUUAUUUUCGGGAUUCGUGUAUUUUCUUUAAUUUUCGGUUUCAAAAGGAAAAAGGCCACAUUUUAGUGUUUUUUUAAAUUGCUAGGAUGGGAAAAACUUGUGUCGUUUGUGUCGCAUCAUGAUAAAAAGGUGAUUCAAGCCGAUCUUUUCACAAAUUGCCUAAUAUAUGCCCAAAGGGAACAAUGGAUUUCAUUAAUGGAAAUCAACAAAAUUAAACAGAACAUAUUUGUUUGUUCAGAUCACAUCCUUAGAAGUGAUUUCUUAUAUAAGGAAGAUAAUAUUAUCAGUAGCCAGACUUAGACCAAACAGAUGAAAAAAAUCAGCUCUACCUCAAAGGUAAUUUUUUUUUAAAUAUAUUUUUCUAGUAUAAAAAAAUCGUCACAAAAAGGAUUAGUGUUACUCAUAUAAGCUUUAUUUAUACCUAAUACUUAUUAAAUUAGGUAUGUAUGUAAAACUAUUUUUUUACUAGGAUUUCUGAUGCACUGGUUAAAAACACAGCAGCUGAUAAUUCAGUUAAUUUACCAAGUGAUUUACCCUUCAAAGCUGCAGGAAUAGCUUUCCUGAAGAGUGCAAAAACUUCUUUAGCUUCCAAAAUGGUAUAUAGUACAAACAGUGAAGCUGAUAUAGACAAGUAUGGAUAAUUAAAAUAGAUUAAUAUUCUAGAUACACCAAAUUUUGUAUAAUUAUAGAUCUGAUCAUUCAUCAUCAACAAUAACUGCAUCUGAGAUUAAUAGUUCUACAGUAACAGUGGGGUCUAGGUCAACAAUUACUAUUUCUCAUCCAAGCCGUUUUUGUUUAACUGCUACAUAUUCCCUGACUCUGCCAAGGAAAAGGGUAAAAUCAAAAUGAUAUCCUGAGGACCUAAGCACUGAUGAUUCCACCGUUUCAAAAGCUAAAUCACUUGUUACCAAAUUAUGGAAAAAAAAUAAAGAGCAAAAAAUUAAAAUUCGAAGAUUGCAAUAAACAAAUUUGCCCCAAAGAAAUUGAAUUAGAUGUCUCAAGUCAUUAUUAAAAUACUUAAGAAAUAAUAACAUGAUUUUUGAAAAAGCCCAACAUACUACAUAUUUUAUUUGACUUGUAAAAGUACUUGUUUGUAUAUUUUUACUAAUAAACUAUUUAAU